AUUGAACGCUGGCGGCAGGCCUAACACAUGCAAGUCUAACGAGUGGCGGACGGGUGAGUAAUGUCUGGGAUACUGCCCGAUGGAGGGGGAUAAAUACUGGAACCGGUAGCUAAUACCGCAUACCAUCGGAUGUGCCCAGAUGGGAUUGGCCAGUAGGUGGGGUAACGGCUCACCUAGGCGACGAUCCCUAGCUGGUCUGAGAGGAUGACCAGCCACACUGGAACAGAGACACGGACCAGACUCCUACGGGAGGCAGCAGUGGGGAAUAUUGCACAAUGGGCGCAAGCCUGAUGCAGCCAUGCCGCGUGUAUGAAGAAGGCCUUCGGGUUAUAAAGUACUUUCAGCGAGGAGGCGUUACUCGCAGAAGAAGCACCGGCUAACUCCGAGCCAGCAGCCGCGGUAAUAC
rnacentral:rRNA from 1 species